CAGAAAUUUAUAUUGACACUCGAACUCGAAAAGAUGGAAGCAUUGUUACUGAAAAGGCUGCUAUUGUAAUUGAUGAACUAAAAAAGAAAAUGGUUGAAGCAGAGAGUUCGCAAAAUUUACAAAGCACGCAAGAUUCUACUGAUUGGACAAAUGAUAUAUAUUCAAAAGUCAAAGGACCUGAAAAAAGAGGACGUGUGCGUUGUCUUGGCAAGCUUCCACAUCAAGCAAGUUCAUCUCAAAGCUCUUAUACAAACAAUAGAAUUCAAAAGUUGGAGAAUUUGCUUGGAAACCUUGUAGCUGUGCUUAAAGUACGAUUUGCAGAAGAUCCACAAAUUAAUCAAGUCUUAGAAGCUAUAGAUCAAGAGGUACCUACAAAUGAUUCUACCGGUAAAGAUCAUCAAACUACAAACAAUCUUAGCUAGAGUCUUGUUCCUUUUACUUGAAUGAUGAUUUGGAAAGCCCUCGUGCAAUUGGACCCUUCUUUAGGCUCUCACGGUCAAGGAAAAGAUGAUGGCAGCAUCAACCACAUGAUUAUUCUGUUUGUGU